AGAGGUGUUGUGAAGAUUACAGAUUAUAAGGGCAAAAUGGUGGCUGUAUCAGUGAACAGUAGUCAGGAUUAUUUUUUACUUUCCAGUGACUCAAACCUCUCCUAAACUGCUCUCUCAGUUUUGGCUCCGUCUUCCCAUGAUAAUAAUAGGUGGUGUAGAGAGGUGACAGAGUCAAGGAACAUGGUUCUUGUUUUCUGAAGAUGGUUCUUUCCUCAAGCCCUUUGAGUCUUCUUUGGUCUUAUAUUCUCAUCACAGAAGGAGAGGUGAUUGUCUUUCCCCAGUUUUGUCUACCAUUCCGGUUCCAUCUGCAUUCCCGGAGGAGUCCUGUUGAGGGCAGAGUGACUGUGAGCAAAACAAGAAGAGCUGUGUCACCAAGUUCCAUAAAAUCUGGGAGCCCAAGCAGCAUAUUUGUGGGAUUUGUCUGACAGAACGCAAUGGAAACAGAGCGUGGCAUUCGCUCCAUCUCCCCCAGGUCACCUGUGGAGAAAGAAACAUCAUCUCUCAACAGAGGAUUGUUCCUCCGUUUGAUGAUACGUGCAUCCUGCCAUCUGGAAUUCAAUUGACUGUUCUGUCUUGGAGCCAAGAAUCUAGAAACUCUCCAAUCCUGAAGUCAAAAUGGAAUGCAUCUCUGCUCUUCCUCUGGGCAUCAUCUAAUUUUUUUGUUCUUGUUUUCCUUGUGCUGGAAUCUACAACACCCUCUCCUAGCCCCUCAACCAGCCUUUCUUCUGCAGAGCAACUUAGUUCUAAUUAGCAACUACAAACCUAUUCACCUACAUCCAAGAGUUCAGUAGUGUCUUUUAAGUAUGUAACAGGCAAUUCUUUUACAUUUUAUUGAGAUGACUACUUUAAAAAAAUUGGUUGCUACCCAGAACUGUUUAGAACAUUGCUUGCUUUAGGUAAGUGAGUGAAGCAAGAUGUGAUAACAUAGGGCUGGGGGACUAGAGUUGGGUAAUAUGGUAGCACAUGAUUUUGUUACUUGAGAUUGCCUGUAAUUGUAGACAUCAGUGAGCAGGGUGAUAUGAACCUCACAGGGGCUCUUGAAGUUCUGCUUCUUCCCUAUUCCUUAAUGCAAUACAAUAUUUAGGUUCAUCUUUUCAAUUUUCCUGGAGAAAUUAAAUACUGUGCCAUAAUAAAAAAAUAAGUAAUUUGAAAGUAAAGGAAGGGCAUGAAUGGAGAGAAGGCAGGAAAACAUUCUAGGUUGGAAAAAAUGGCAGAAGUAAUGUUGGGACAUUGGAGUGAUGGUGGAGGUGGGAAUAGAGUCUAGGAUCUCUUCAUCCCAUACUAUGCAUCUAUCUUCACAAAAUUAGUAUGGCCAAAUAUUAAAUCAGCUCAUUUCUGGUUGGGAAAAGUAGGGUGAAUGUGCCUUUCUAGCUGUCCUUGAGAUGUAAAUCUCCUGUAACAUAGCUUCCCUAGUGGUCACCUCAAAGGCUUUGUUCUCUCCAGGAUAGAUGCUACAGAGUGGGACAGUACUUGGUGUGUGUGUAUCUCAAUUUUUUUUUAACAUGACAAAUUGAACUAGGGGCAAGAGAAGGAUAGACAGAGGAGCCUAUGAUGGGGUGGUGGAUACUAAAUAUUUUCCAGGUGUAAGGAGCAGAGGAGGAAAAGGGAGACUGGGUAACCCUUUUUCAGACCAUCAUUUAGUCCAUUUUAUGUUGCAAAUAUUAGCAAACCUACUCCAGCUUUCUUAAACAGUAGGGUUUUCAUUACAACAUAGUUAAGAGAGUAGGCUUAGGAGUAAGAUUGCUUGAUCCUGAGUAAGUUACUUAAUCUUGGUGUCUCAGUUUCUUCAUUCCAGUUAAGUAAAUAUAUUUAAAUUAAAUUAUAUUAGUUAGUAAAUGUAAAGCACACAGAAAAGUGUUUGGCUUCUGGUGAGCUUUCAAUAAGUGUUAACUAUUAUUUGUUAUUAUUAUUUUAACAAAACCAACCUCCAAAACCUAUGAAGUCAGUUUACAGAAAGCCACCAGGAAAAGGGAAAUAAGAAGAUUCUUUACUUUGCUGUCAUUUGAUACACUUAGCAUUUUAAAUGACUAUAUGUACAAUAUUAACCAUGCCUUUCCACAAAACUAUGUGUGUGCAUAUGAAUUACAGGGCUUUCAUUUGAAACUGAACUAUCUGUGUUUGUAGUCACUUUAAUCAUACAACAAACCUACAAAAUAUUUAAGCAUAAAUUAUCAUGAUGACUAAAUAUGGAAAAGCUUCUGUUACCAAAACCUGCACCCAAAUUGACUGCACAGGAUGGGUAAUUGGAUGGUGGUGUAAAGAAUGCUCAUGAGGACUAGGCUGCUGCUAAUUAGAUCUUCUAUGCUAUUUAAAUGUUCUCCAAGCUUCAGGGAGUGCCCUGAAGGCAGUUGGACAUUAGCCUUGUGGUUUUUGAGGGUAACCUACAGUUUGUCAGCACAGGGGUGGAGGUGAGCACCAUGGGACUUUUCCCAGGCUGCUGGUUAACAUACUGUGGUUUCAAUCCUUUAAGCCAAUAAAUGGAGGAGAGAGAAAGAAGGCAGACUGAAAUUAGAGGAAAAGAGACAAAGAAAGGAAAAGUGGAAGUAAGAAUAAUAUUCAUGAAAUGUCUUCUUUGGGCCAGAUAUUUUUUUAGGAACUUUCACAUAUUGUGCUUACAUCAACUCUGUGGGAAAUGUAUGAUUAUACUAUCCUCAUUUGUAACAGACAUUGUUGGGUGCCUAUAUAACAUAUAACAGCUAUUUUUCUUCAUUUUUUUCUUGCUGAUGGCGCUUUUUUUUUUUUAGUGUUUACUUCCCAUACAAAACUUAUGUCUCCAUGUCUCCAUCCUUCAGCAAUAGGGGUAAUUCUGAAAGGUCAUUGUUUUGCAAUUGCCCUUGAAAGGAAAUUCUUGGACAUAACAACAGAUAAGAUUCUAGCCAAUGAAAGGUGAUGAGAAGGUUGCUGAGAAGUUUCUGAGAAAGGUUUCUUUAUUCUUUAACAAAUACCCUGGAAAGAGACAGGCCUUCUGCUGCUGUUCAUGGUUGUACCUGCACAGGAUGCCUGAAAAGGAGUAACCGUGGGGUCAGAAGAGGAGCCAGCGUGAGGACAAAGCAGAUACACUGAAGUACCACCUGUCACUGAAUUUUUGUGCAAGAGUAUAAACAUUCUCAUUGUUUAAUCUUUCUGUGGGAGACGCUUUACUAUGUGUAGCAAAGUCAUUCUAACUGACAUACCAUUUUCCAUUGUAUGAGAAAACUGAUGUACAGAAAGGUUAAGAAACUUGCCUGCAUUUGCAUGCAUAAUGAGGAGUGGAGAGAACAGGUUGUGCCUUCUAAUAUACAGGCAAGAUAUGUCUCUUUUAAACAGCACAUACAGACACACUCCAAAAUGACAAUUUCCAUCAUUUUUUAAAAAUUAAAUGAGACAAAGACUCUAAAACUAUUUAAAUAACAUGUACAUUACUGUCUUGGGAUUUAUUUUUGUUUCAGCUCUAUUGAGAUAUAGUUGACAAAUAAAAUGGUAUGAAUUUAAGGUGUACAAUGUGAUGAUUUGAUGUAUGUAUAUAUUGUGAAAAGACCAAAAUAAAGUCAGUUAACAUAUCUAUUA
ensembl:lncRNA LINC02389 long intergenic non-protein coding RNA 2389